CAAUUUCCGGCGACUGAGACUAAUGGCCAGCCCUCGAUGAGCAGCACCCCGACUAAUGGCCAGCCGAGAAUGAGCAACACACCAGUGAAUAAUCAAGACAAACAAGAUGCAGAUAAUGCUCCAAGAGUUGGGAAGUGCUUUCAGUCUGAAGAAGAGGCGUAUCAAUUUUACAAUUCUUAUGCUCAAACCAAGGGAUUUAGCAUUAGGAAGUGCCACUUGAUGUUUAGAGCAGAUGGGACUUUAAGUUCCAGAUAUUUUGUUUGUAGCAAAGCAGGUGUGAAAAAUGCUAAUCCAACACAUGUGGCCAAGAAAGAAAAAGCUAUUUCGAGGACUAAUUGUAUGGCUCGAGUUCAAUUCAGCAUCAAUCAAGAGGGAAUUUGGACUACUUAGAAAGUUACGCUCGACCACAAUCACCAGCUUGUAAGUCCAGAUAAGAGGCACAUGCUUAGAUCGCAGCGUCAACUCUUAGAUGCCGAUCGCCACAUGAUUAAGCAAAUGAGGACAUAGGGAAUUAAACAAGCCGAAAUAUAUGAUUUUUGCGAGCUUUGGUAUGGUAAAGAUGCUAUACCCUUCUUGCAAAUGGAUUGCAACAAUUAUUUGCGAAGUGAGCGCUCAAAGUAUUUGGAAACCAAAGAUGCACAAACAUUAAUGGAGUAUCUAAAGAACAAGCAAGCUGAGGACCCUUCGUUUUUCUAUGCCAUGCAGUUAGAUGAUGAUGAUGGUACAAUAAUGAACAUCUUUUGGACUGAUGGACAAGCUAUCAUGGACUAUUCUGUCUUUGGAGAUGCCCUUUCCUUUGACACCACAUUUUCAACAAAUAAGUUUCAAAUGCCAUUUGCUCCGUUUAUUGGUGUUAAUCAUCACAAGCAGACUAUUCUUUUUGGUGCAUCACUACUAUCUAAUGAAUCUGCAGAUACCUUUGAGUGGGUUUUUAGAACCUUUCUACAAGCUAUGUCUGGUAAGCAGCCUGAAACAAUAUUCACCGAUCAAUGUGCCGCCAUUAUAAAUGCUAUUGGAAGGGUUUUCCCAAGAACACGACAUCGUCUUUGUUUAUGGCAUUUGUAUCAAAAUGCUGCAAAACAUCUAAGUCAAGUAAUCAGCGACAAUGAUAAUUUUCUUAAAGAAUUCAAAAGGUGUGUGUAUGAAGAUAGAUCACUGGCACAUUUUGAGAAUAGAUGGCAUGAGCUAUUGCUUAAGUAUCAGAUUGAGGAUAAUUCUUGGAUAAGCAAUCUGUACAAGUUGCAUGAGAAGUGGGCUACUAUCUAUCGCCGCGAUUCUUUUAGUGCAUAUAUGACAUCAACCCAAAGGAGUGAAGGAAUGAACAACGUGUUCAAGAAAACUUUCCGCAAAAGGCUUUGUCUUUCUGAAUUGAUAGAAGCAUAUGAUAAGUGCAUUGCUCGUCUUCGCCGGAAAGAAAAAUAUGAAGACUACAAGUCACGCCAUACCAUUCCAGUACCCUGCCUGCCAAACCUACCUUUAUUGAAGACUACAAGUGAUCAGUAUGUUCAACAGCACAAAUACACUGAAAAUGUCGCAACACAUUAUACGAAGAGUGGACAAGAACAACUAUACAUUGCAAAUUCCACAAGCUUUCAUUCACACAGAAAUUCGUUUACAACAUAG
rnacentral:rRNA from 1 species